AUUGAACGCUGGCGGCAUGCUUUACACAUGCAAGUCGAACGGCAGCGCGGGCUUCGGCCUGGCGGCGAGUGGCGAACGGGUGAGUAAUACAUCGGAACGUGCCCAGUAGUGGGGGAUAGCUCGGCGAAAGCCGGAUUAAUACCGCAUACGACCUGAGGGUGAAAGCGGGGGAUCUUCGGACCUCGCGCUAUUGGAGCGGCCGAUGGCAGAUUAGCUAGUUGGUGGGGUAAAGGCCUACCAAGGCGACGAUCUGUAGCUGGUCUGAGAGGACGAUCAGCCACACUGGGACUGAGACACGGCCCAGACUCCUGCGGGAGGCAGCAGUGGGGAAUUUUGGACAAUGGGCGAAAGCCUGAUCCAGCAAUGCCGCGUGUGUGAUGAAGGCCUUCGGGUUGUAAAGCACUUUUGGCGGGAACGAAAAGGACUGUGCCAAUACCACGGUUCGAUGACGGUACCCGCAGAAUAAGCACCGGCUAACUACGUG
rnacentral:rRNA from 1 species